rnacentral:rRNA from 1 species
ACAUGCCUACAACAUAGAGUUAAUGCAUCGGAUCCCAUUAUAAAUAUGUAGUUAAGCAUGCUUGGGAUAGAGUAGUACUGGGAUGCGUGACCUCCCGUGAAGUCCUAGUAUUUUACAUUCC